UACGUAGGGGGCAAGCGUUGUCCGGAUUUAUUGGGCGUAAAGAGCGUGUAGGCGGCCUGAAAGGUCAGCUGUGAAAACUCGAGGCUCAACCUCGAGACGUCGGUUGAAACCAUCUGGCUAGAGUCCGGAAGAGGAGUGUGGAAUUCCCGGUGUAGCGGUGAAAUGCGCAGAUAUCGGGAAGAACACCCGUGGCGAAGGCGGCACUCUGGGACGGUACUGACGCUGAGACGCGAAAACGUGGGGAGCGAACAGG
rnacentral:rRNA from 1 species